rnacentral:rRNA from 1 species
UACGUAGGUCCCGAGCGUUGUCCGGAUUUAUUGGGCGUAAAGCGAGCGCAGGUGGUUUAUUAAGUCUGGUGUAAAAGGCAGUGGCUCAACCAUUGUAUGCAUUGGAAACUGGUAGACUUGAGUGUAGGAGAGGAGAGUGGAAUUCCAUGUGUAGCGGUGAAAUGCGUAGAUAUAUGGAGGAACACCAGUGGCGAAAGCGGCUCUCUGGUCUGUAACUGACGCUGAGGUUCGAAAGCGUGGGUAGCAAACAGG